UCCGUAGGGUGCAAUCGUUGUUCGGAAUCAUUGGGCGUAAAGCGCGUGUAGGCGGCCUACUAAGUCUGAUGUGAAAGCCCGGGGCUCAACCCCGGAAGUGCAUUGGAUACUGGUUGGCUAGAGGGCGAGAGAGGGAAGUGGAAUUCCUGGUGUAGGGGUGAAAUCCGUAGAUAUCAGGAGGAACAUCGGUGGCGAAGGCGGCUUCCUGGCUCGUUUCUGACGCUCAGACGCGAAAGCGUGGGUAGAAAACAGG
rnacentral:rRNA from 1 species